AAUGAACGUUGGCGGCGUGGAUUAGGCAUGCAAGUCGAGCGCUCAUAGCAAUAUGGGAGCGGCGAACGGCGUAGUAAUACGUAGGAACGUACCCUCGGGUCGAGGAUAGCUAUGGGAAACUGUAGGUAAUACUCGAUAACCUCUGCGGAGCAAAGGUGUGAUUCCGCCCGAGGAGCGGCUUACGCGAUAUUAGCUGGUUGGUAGGGUAAUGGCCUACCAAGGCGAUGAUGUCUAGGGGGUGUGAGAGCAUGGCCCCCACGACCGGAACUGAGAUACUGUCGGACACCUACGGGUGGGCUGCAGUCGAGAAUCUUCCGCAAUAGGACGAAAGUACUGACGGAGCGACGCCGCGUGCGGGAGUGAAGGACCC
rnacentral:rRNA from 1 species